CAGCCGCCGCGGUAAUACGUAGGGUGCGAGCGUUAAUCGGGAUUACUGGCCGUAAAGCGUGCGCAGGCGGUUAUAUAAGACAGAUGUGAAAUCCCCGGGCUCAACUUGGGACCUGCAUUUGUGACUGUAUAGCUAGAGUACGGUAGAGGGGGAUGGAAUUCCGCGUGUAGCAGUGAAAUGCGUAGAUAUGCGGAGGAACACCGAUGGCGAAGGCAAUCCCCUGGACCUGUACUGACGCUCAUGCACGAAAGCGUGGGGAGCAAACAGGAUUAGAUACCCGUGUAGUCCCUGUCUUUAUACA
rnacentral:rRNA from 1 species